rnacentral:rRNA from 1 species
UACCGGCGCCUCAAGUGGUAGUCGCUUUUAUUGGGCCUAAGCAUCCGUAGCCUGUUUUGUAAGUCUUCGGUUAAAUCCAACAACUCAAGUGUUGGGCUGCCGAAGAUACUGCAAGACUAGGGAAUGGGAGAGGUAGACGGUACUCGAUAGGAUGGGGUAAAAUCCUUUGAUCUAUUGAUGACCACCUGUGGCGAAGGCGGUCUACCAGAACAUGUUCGACGGUGAGGGAUGAAAGCUGGGGGAGCAAACCGG